AUUGAACGCUGGCGGAAUGCUUUACACAUGCAAGACGAACGGCAGCACGGACUUCGGUCUGGUGGCGAGUGGCGAACGGGUGAGUAAUGUAUCGGAACGUGCCCAGUCGUGGGGGAUAACGUAGUGAAAAUUACGCUAAUACCGCAUACGAUCUAUGGAUGAAAGCGGGGGAUAGCAAGACCUCGCGCGAUUGGAGCGGCCGAUAUCAGAGUAGGUAGUGGGUGGGGUAAAGGCCCACCAAGCCAAUGAUCUGUAGCUGGUCUGAGAGGACGACCAGCCACACUGGAGCUGAGACACGAUCCAGACUGCUACGGGAGGCAGCAGUGGGAAAUUUUGGACAAUGGGCGACAGCCUGAUCCAGCGAUUCCGCGUGCAGGAUGAAGGCCCUCGGGUUGUAAACUGCUUUUGUACAGAACGAAAAGGUUUCUACUAAUACUAGGAGCUCAUGACGGUACUGUAAGAAUAAGCACCGGCUAACUACGUGCCAGCCGCCGCGGUAA
rnacentral:rRNA from 1 species